rnacentral:lncRNA from 1 species
AAAAGAAGCACUGUGGCCUGCACGAUGAGGCCGGACCAGGUGAGUGCAGCAGUCCUCCAACCUGAUGUCCUCCAACCCGUUCAUCUGACCAGACGGAUCAAAACACGGCCGGCCACCUGCAGGACCCCAGCUACACACACACCUAUCCGAAACGCAGAUUUUCAUCCUCAGACCGCCGUUUGCUUUCACACCGCGCCGCACAGACCGGCAGUGCAGCUCUACCAACCCUCCUUUCAGCCGGCGGAGUUGUGCGCCCGGAGAGCGCCGCGAGGCCAACGAGACAGCCCGGCUAUCUCUGCACUUCCCGGAACUCCACCAACUCUCCCUUAGCGCUCCCAGCCAGUCUGGCGGCGAGGCGGCCCGCACGCAGCGCCGGAGGCGGCAGGCAGACGGGCGGGCGGCUCACACGAACCGCAGCGGCGGCUGCGGGCCGAGGUCACCCCUCCGCCGCGCCGCAUUGUUCCCGCUCCGCGCCCGCCGCACGCGGGCCCCGCUCCCCGCCCGGCCCGGGCAGCGCCGCCUGAACUCUUGAACCCGCGGCGCCGCAGCCCGGCGCGAGCCUCCGGGGCGGAGAGCGGCGGCGGCGCGCCCCGCGCAGGCAGCCCGCCCCACCGCAGGGCCGCGGGCAGCCGGCCGCACCGCGCUGCGCCGCGCCGCCCGGGAGCGGCCUCGCCCGCCGCGGGGCCCCGCUCCUACCCGCGGGCCGGGCCCGGACCCAGACCGCGGCCUUUCCCGCCGCGUCCCCCCGGCGGCCGCUCCUCACCUGGGCUUCGGGCCGCCGGCGCCCCGCUCGUAGGCCCAGGCGGCGGCGGGCUGCGCGGCGGCCGGGGCCAGCGGGUCGGCGAAGCUGGGGGUCGGCGGGUAGUUCCUGUCCAUCAUCGGGGCAGGGCGCGGGGCGGCGGGGGCUCCGCUGGGGCCCUGCGCGCAGGGCGGCGGCGGCGGGGAGCGAGCGGGGCGGGUGGGAGCGGCCCCCCCCUGCCUCAUGCGGGGCGGGCAGCGCCGCGGCCCCCUCCCCGCCGCGGGCCAGGCCGCCGCGGCCCGGCCCCCCCUCCCCGCCUCCGCUCCCCUCCCGGCCCGGCCGCCGGGCGGCCCCGCGUGCGGCGGCGGCGGGGGCUGCGCGGCGGGCAGGCGGGGACCCAUGUCGGGCCGCUCCUUCCCAGGAUGCACCUCCCCGCCACGGCCCGCGGCGGGGAGCGAGCGGGGCCCGGCGCCGCGGCCGGGGGGCAGGGGAGGAGAUGCGCGAGCCGGGACGCGCGGCCUGGCGGGGCGGCCGGGCCGGGCCGGGCCAGGCCUGGCGGCUACGGGGGGGCGCGGCGGCCGGCACCGGGGCGGGCGGAGGGGGCCGAAGGCGGGGACGGCCGGUGAGGGGAGAGGCCGGCGGCGGCGCGGCAGGGCCGCGUCGAGCGGAGCGCUGGGGCUUUGUUGGAGGGGCCGGGGCGGGGCCAUCUUGUUCCCGCUGAGCGAAGCGGCGCUCCGCGGCGUGGCGUCAGCACCGGGCACCACCGCCGCCCACGGCCGGGACUGCGAGCCCGGCGCCGACAAGAUAGGGGGCAUCGCGGCGACCUCAGCACUGCCUCGGAGGGCGCGCGGUGCGGGGCCGACCGGCAGUCCCGCCACCGAGGGGUGAGACGAAAGCACUGCCCGCGGGCGCGCAGGUGUCCGCGCAGCACCCCUGAAGGCACCGCCGGCGGCGGGCACGUGACUGCGGCACGUGACCUGCGACCGCCUCCCCCCGCGCAUAAAUUGAAUAAAUCUGAGGGACGGGGAGGGGGCGUUUGUGGUUCUGGCGUGUGUGGAGGGCAGGGUGUGGGGCUGGUAAGAUUUUUGUUUGUGUUUUUUUUUUUUUUUUUUUUUAAAUAGCUGAUGAGGGGACUUGGUGGGUUGAGGGAGCUGGGAUUGCUCAGUGUGAUAAAGAGGAGUCUUGGGGGGGGUGUGGUGCUCUCUGAAAGGAGGUUGUGGUGAGGUGGGGUCAACCUCUUUUUCAUAGAGCUAUAGAAUGACUUUGGUUGAAAGGACCAUGUUGAUCAUCUGGUUUACAAUCCUCCUGUUAUGUGCAGGGUUGCCAACCAGCAGACUAGGCUGCCUAGAGCCACAUCCAGCCUGGCCUGGAAUGCCAAUGGGGCAUCCACAAUCUCCUUGGGCAACCUGUUCCAGUGCUUCACCACCCUCUGUAUGAAAAACUUCUUCCUAAUAUCCACCCUAAACCUCCCAUCUCAGUUUAAAACCAUUCCCCCUUGUCCUGUCCCUAUCCACCCGCACGAACAGCCAUUCCUCCUCCUGUUUAUGUGCUCUGUUCAUAUACUGGAAAGCCCCACUGAGGUCCCCCCCUGAGUCUUCGUGUUCUGGGUAACAGUGUUAGGACAAGGGGGGAUUCAGGCUGGGUCUUAAAAAGAGUUUCUUCUCAGAAAGAGCAGUCAGUUGUUGGAGCAGGCUGCCCAGGGAGGUGGUGGAGUCACCAUCUCUGGAGGUAUUGACUGAGAGGGCAGAUGUAGUGCUUAGGGGCAUGUUUUAGGUGGGGAUGGGUUGGGAUUGAACUAGGUGAUCUUAUGUGCCUUUUCUAGCCAUGAAUAUGGCACAGGAUGAGAUGUGCUGAGGUGAGCAUCAGGAGAAGAGGGCCCCAGGGCAAUGGCUGCUUGCUGUGGAUGAAGGUGAGGGAGCACCUGAAGGCUUCUGUACUGCUCAGAAGAGAGAGGUAUAUGCUUGUGACUGCAUAAGGCUUCUGAAAGUUCACUUUGUAGUACUUGAGGCAAUGACAAAUCACAGGGUUUUGCGGGGAAGUGCAGGCAGGAGAGACUUUUGCCUGCAGCUAAUCUGAUUAGAUAUGUGAUAUAAAUCAGCAUCUCAACAUGUGAAUGGAGUAGGGGAAGUGCUUAGCAGGGAAGUUGUUAGCUAGGGGACUUCAGGAGGGAAAGCUGAGCUUCUGAUUCUCUCGUGCCCUGCUUCAAGAAGCAGCAUGGCCAGUGUGGGGAGGGCAGGUGAGUGCCAACACCAUCGGCAUGGAAGAGGCUGAGGAGAGGCCAGGGAAGAGGGUGGAGAGUGGAACAGAGCAUGCCAAGGACAAACCAGCAGAGUGAGUUUUCCUUCUGUUUGCGUAAGUGAGCGCCUGCACUGUUUGCAGCAGGAGCCUUUCCCUGGGAAGCACAGCCAGUCGCUGUUUUACAUGUGAUGCAGGCAUGAUGAAAGAAAACACCUCCGGUUUUAUGCUACUGGAGAAGCACUUGUGCUGCUGUUGCACUUGGAAGUAGCUUUGUGCUAGGAAAGGACACUUAGAUGUCCUUGCAGGAUGUCUGCUCAUCUCCAUUACAUUAGUCACCUGGAGUUUGCUGUUUCCUUCAGAUGGAAAGGGUGAUAGAUGUGUGCAGGUGGAGCCCCGUGCACUCAGCUAUAGGGUUGGUUGGAGGGAUGGUGGUGAUGUAAAAGCUUCUUACUGCAAUUUUGGGACAAGGUAUUAAUAAAUUGUACAACUACCAGUGCUGUGUUGAAUUCUUCUCAAUUAAUGACAUGAGCCUUAAAGCAUGCCACGGUGUGUAUUUUUUUUUUUUUACAGAUUAUUUCUCUAAAGAGAGGUAUAUGUUAAUGCUGAUACGUAAUUAUAAAAUCCUAUUGCAUAAGACAUUCCAAGCAACAAACAUCAGUUGAGAUCUAUAGGCGUGGAAAAGAUAGCUCAUUUAGUGGUCUGAGCUAACUGUUUAAGUAUCAAUAUACUACAGACACAACUGAGAGCACCACCACUAAUGUUUAUAAACACCACCUAAAGCACUGUUAUCCCAUAGUUUGCAUUUCCUGUGUCUGAGAGGCAAUUGACUUCUCCUGAGGAGCCUGGGAGACUCCUACCCUUUUCUCAUCCAACUGAUCCCUGUUUUGUUGCUAUUCUUAGAAAGCUCCAUUGAAGUUUGGUGUUCAGUCUUUGUGGCAGAAAGAUAUGUUGUAACACUGACUUCUGAGAACAAAAGAGUGUGUAGAGUGAGUUCUUUUUAUGUUGUCUUGGUAUCCACAGCAAAAAUACUUGAUAAAUCCUGUUAAUCUGUGUGUAUUAAUUUAAAUACUAGACAGUUUCAUGAUUCUGAACGUUGGUGGAAAUGUUUCAAUUCUUGCAUUCAUAAGGAAUGCAUCAGUUUCAAAAUCAAUUACUGCUUGACUCUGAGAAACUGACCUUCAGUGGGCUUCAAUACAUUCAGGGCUGUAGCUCAUAACUGAUUGUACUAUAUGUGUUUUUUUAAUCAAAUAUUUAAGAAUGUUUUUUCUGAAAAACAAGCUAUUAUGAGUAAGAUCUUAAAUUACAGCACCAUAAUGCAAUCUGUGCAGCUUAGCAGCCAGGGGCAGUGCUGAAUUCUUGUUGCUCAUUCUUCUCUCUAAACAAAAUAGUCUCCAAUUGGAAAAAUAAUGGAUCUUCUAGAGACCCAAAAUUGUCAUUUGGGGGUUAGGAGGCACAUAAGCACAGAUUUAUGUACUUAAAGCAAUAUUUUAGUGGAGACUGUGCCUAAUGUCCAGGGAGUGUUCUUCAAAGCUGCAGGUGCUUGCUGCCUGUGGAUACCUUGUCCCAGUAGGGCUGGGGUGCCUUGGAUGCUUGCUGGUACCAAAAAGGAGAAGGCCUUCCCUUCCUCCUCCUCUGCUCCAACAUCCUGCUCCCAGAGAUUCACUCUGAUCACAAAGUGAGCUGUAAAUUCACUCCUGGCAAAAGAACAUUUAAUUUUUUUUUUUGCCAGGUCACGUUCCUGUAAUUCCACAGAGCUGAGCCAGCUUGUUUUGCGUCAAACAAAUACUGAUUCAGGGCAAAGAGUGGUACUGUGCAGCCAGAAGCAGGUGGGAAAGGAAGGACGUGACGAGAAAAAGCAGGAAGCUUGCUCUUGAUGACAAGAUGUUGAGGUGGCUCAUGUUGUGUUCAGUGUAGGAAUCUCUACUGAGUGCUUGAGAGUAUGUCUCCAAAGGCAUAACAGCCUUCUCUGCCCCUCCUUAGCCAAGAUCAAGCCAGCUCUGGCAGAACUGUUAGCUAAUAUACCUGCCCUUUAACUUAAUGGUACAUAGUGCUUAAAGGCAAUGUCACAUUUUAAGGCUUAGUUUUAUCUUUAAAGUGGCCACAUGCCAAAUGAAAUGUAGGAUCCAACUAAUGGGUAGUUUUAGUCAUCAUUUGUCAUCAAAAUUUUGAUUUGGCAAUAAUUAGUCAUAAAAAAUGUGAUCUGUUCAUAAUUAAAAUCAGUAAGUCAGUCACAACUGGAGGGCCAGAAUAAAGCCUCACUUCACAUUUUUUGUAACUUAUUUAUUACUUAUUUGUUCCUUAGUGUGCUGUUAGUGCCCAUGUUAGUGCAUCUGCUGAGUGUGAUCAAGUAUUUUCCUAUUGUAUAUGGCCAGGCAGAAUGUUCCAUGGUAUGUACAGCUUUAAUAGUACCACAGAUGUCAAAUACCAGGAUAGCACCACUCGGGGUCUUUGUGCAUGAGGCAGCAGGUGGCACUGAAUGGAGCAAUUCUUCUGAGGGCCAGCAGUUGCUGCCUGUGCUUUUGGCAUCCUUUUAACCGCAGGUACAGCAAACCUGGCUCUACCAGGCUUUUCCAGUAUCUGUCCACAAACACUGCCUUCCUUUAUAGGAGGCAUUGCUUUUGUCAUUUGCCUUUCCAUAACAGAAGCUGCCUGGUUUUGCUCUUAUCUUGGUUUUUCCCACAUGUUUAACCAUAGAGACUUUUUUUUUCUUUUUUUUUUUUUCCCCUUGCAUGAAGAAGCUUCCAGUGAAGCUGUUGCUUUUGCAGCAAAAUGGUUGAAAUGCUUUCAGGCGAUUUUGAUGCUCUGAGAAGAGUCAUAGCAAAAGCAUGGAGUCAGAGGCACAUGCUGGAUCAGUGAGCUGACCAGCAGCCUCAGCUGUUCAGCAAAGAAAGUGGUUAAAGCACAGCAUGCAGCUAAUUCUGCAAGUCUGAACUUAUGACUAGGUUGGUGAAAGUGGACGAAGGGCUCAUAUUUCAGAUCAUGAUAGUGCUUUAUUCUGCAGCUAUCACAGCAUCAUAAAUAGCUUGCUGACAUGCACAGACGUCUUGGUGGCUGACUUAUAGUGACAAACACGUUUCCAUUUGCCAACAAACACUCUAGAAAUGCUUAGCAGUUAGUCUUAUCCUGAGAGAAUGGGUUUUUAAGAUUGAUGGAAAUAGUGGUUCAGAGACUUGCAGACAUUUUUAUGAAAAUUAAUGUUUCAAUGAUUAAAAAUAUCCAAAUAAUGUGAGUAUGUGUGACCAGAUGAAGUUUGAAGAAGUUUGGGCCAAAGCUGAGCUGGGACCGAUUAACAGACUUUUAAAAAGAGUGCAGAAUAAAAUUUCUGCAGCUUCUUUCUUCUCUGUUGAACAGACAUUAGAUAUACAUCUAUAGAACAUAGAUAUAGGACCUUAGUGUGGACUUUGUGUAGGUAUACAUGCUUCCAAGCUCAGGUGUCUUCCAUUAGAAGUAAUGAGAAGUACAUCAGGUAUUAGGCUGGACUAACACAAGUCUUGGUCAAGUCUGUUACCAAUCUCUGCUCUUUCAGGUGCAAUUGUGACUGUGGUCCUGAUCAAAGCAGAAAAUUGCAGUUGCUUAACAUAUUACAUUUUGCAUUUUAUUUGGCUCUUGGCCUCUUCAAAUGUCAAACUAGACACUAGUAGAUGUGUAAAUAGGGAAGAAAUUGCUGCCUUUCAAAGAGCACACUUUACCAGGGAGCCUCAGGGCAAGUACUCUUUGCAUUUCUUUAUGCUCUGUGCCUUUUUUUUUAACUUUAAAAAAAAAAGAAAAAAAAAAAGUAAAGAAAAGAAGCUUGGGUAUAAUUUCAAACAAAGCAAUCACAAUCUUCCGGAAGAAUACUGAAGUUAAUCUACAAAAUUAUGGCACUUGAUGUGUGAGCUGGCACAAAGCAUGCUGUGCCAAUGAGAGGAAAUCCUCCUUUCCUUCAUUUUCCCAGUUCUUCUUCUGAUCAUGUGGUUCCACAACUUCUGAGGCACUGCUGCUCACAUUUGAGUUAGUUCAACUCACAUACUCCCUUUGUUUUUGCUGGAUGUGUGCAUUCAACUGAUUUAUGAACUAUGAUUUAAAACUUGUGUAAGGCAAGUGGGAGAAACGCAGUGAGAUUUAGGAGAAAAGGGAAUUAAAAUAAAGCCUUUACUCUCAAACAAGCUCAUGAUCUGACAAGGGUUAUCUUAACUCUUACUAGAAAUUAUCAUUUGUAUUGCAUCCAAGCUAAGUGUUCACCAUUAAAUACUGAACAUUUAAGUCUCAGUAUUAGUUUAGUAGGCUUUGGUACUUAGAGAAUUUCACUGAAGGUGCUUGAACAACCUGAGCGAUCAGAGGUAUUUCUUAUUUCUUACAUGAAGUUGGUUGGCACUGCAUCAGAAUUUAAAACCUGUUCUAAGGUCUUUUCAAAACAUACCAAUUUCUAGACAGGAGUAUUUUGUCUGAUUGUCCAUGUGUCUGGCUUAAUGUGAAUGAACCUACACCCCACCAGUUGUAUUCUGGGCCCCAGUUCAGUUGACUGCUUCAUUGUAUCUUUGAAUCUUUGCUGUGCUUUGAGUUUUAACCAGCUUGUUCAGUUCAUCUUGUGUGGCUGGGAGAAGUACAAAUCUAGCUAUUUUAUUUCUGCUGUGGGCAAAAGAGAGUGGCUUAAUUUAGUAUAAUCAUGCAAUUUGUUUGUUUUCCUUUGAAGGUACUCUGCACCAUGUAGUAACUUGGAAGCGGUGUUUUCGAUAUUGCUGCCUCUCUCACACCAAAAUGCCAGCACUUAAAGUUGGAAUGAAAAGAUAACUAGGACAAGUGCAUUCAAAAGGCUGUAUCAGAUGGACAGAGGGAGGGAUGAAAUAUAUUAAGUCACAAGAACCAAAUACACAGCUCAGGGACUACUAGAAGCAGAAGCUACCGCUGAAUUAAGAGCAUAAGGUAUUUGUGGAGAUGUGCUGAACACAUCUGAGAGGAAAAUACAAAAUUUCUUAACUGUGAAAAUGAUACAGUGAUUAAUUUGUGCGUUACAAGAAUGAAGAUAUUUUCAGUGUAAAGACAAUGAAGUGUCUGAUAGAGGAGUUUCAUACCUGGGGUUUCUUUCCUGUUCUUCCCCACAUGGAACAAGUGAGGGUAGCAGCAGUAAAACUUCUGUUGGCAGGUGAGGUUUUAAAUAAAGUAGACUUUUUGAAGUUUUUUUUGUUUUUUUUUAUGUUAGUAGGCAUCAUUAGGAAUAGAGAAUAAUAUUUAAAUCAGGUUUGGGAACAGCAUUGUUUUUAAGUAAUGUGGUAGCACAUUACAUUUUUAUUAACAGAAGUGAUCGGUUCUUACAUUUUUGGCUCCAAUCCCAGAGUGGUUGAAGCCAAUAAAAACGCUUGCUGUAGACUUUGAUAGAACCAGAGUCAAAUGCUUCAUGACUCACGUCUUCCUGAACUGCAGUGAGGAAAUACACUUCCAUGUGGUACUUUGUUUUCGUUCUUCCAGUGAAUUCACACGUGCACACACACCCACUUACUCAUGAAAAAAACUGAAAUAUGUAAUGUUUAUAAUGUUGCUCAUCAGAGGAUUUGAGAAAUGAAAUAGUAGUCUCUCUUGUUUCGCUGAUGCAUAAAACAGGUUAAGUGACUUAUUUUUAAGUUGACAGGGUUGGAGACUACUUUUCAGACCCUCAGUUAUUUGCUGUGAGUAAUCAUCUGUCCACAUUUGUAAGAGGUUGCAUGAUGUAACCUUGUAUGAUGUCGAAAGGGCAACACGGAAACGAUGUUUUGGGAAAUGGGCCACGGUGAUGGCUAAGAGCAUUUAAGUACUGUGACAUGUUUAAACCUGUUCUGAGAGAAAUGAAGUACUGUAUAUUUUCUCUUCAGAAUCUCAUUUAGAAAAGAGGCAACCCAGUGAACUGCUUGGGAAUUUUUUCCCUAUCUAAGAUGAGGUGCCAUGAGGCCCUGUGGAGUAAGUUGUGAGGAUGUAAUCAAUACGCACCUGUCUCCACCUCCAAAUAACACACAGCCUGGUGAUUAAGGAAGUAUUUGGAGAAUGAAACAGAUGAAUUUGAAUUCUCUGCUAGACGCAGUUCUGCAGUCCCUGGGCCACCAUUCAACAAGAUGGUAAAUCCAGUUUUAGUAUGCCUCACGUUUAAUUAAAAAUGCAUCCACACAGCAUACUGAAUAAAGUCACUCUGGUGGUAAAAGAUGCUCAGAAAAUGCUGAUGGGGUAACCUCCCACUGCAGGUACCCCACACUCUUGCCAACUGUUCGUUCUACUUGCUAAAUCACUGGAUAAAAGAGUUGGACCCCUCACUUUCCGCUCCACCUUGGAGUGAUGCAGGCCUUUUUAUUGCCAGGGGAGGUUUCUGUGCUAUGAACGCACAAGGAAGAGGCAGCCUGGCAGCGCUCUGUUUUGCCCCACAGCAGUACGGAUUUUAAUGAAUAACCUGUGUUCAGCAUUUUUCUGCUCAGCCUGCUGCCCUGAAGGAGUUCCCUCCUCAAUGUCACGGCUUUGACAAGUCUGUGUUAGGAAGACAGGGCAGAUAUCUUACAGAUUCACUUGUGAAGCCCUGAUGCUGAAAUGUUCAGUAGUCCACACAAGUCACAGUACUCGAGUCCUUCUUGGACACAUCAUUUAUUUCUACCUUCCAAAUUAAGGAACUGCAAUAGCAGCACUGUGCUUUGUUUCAAGGUGGUGUAAGGAAUAUAGUACUGAGGAAAAAUAUCAGUCUCAGCAAACAAGCAAAUAAACCCCAAAGAAGCAAAUGAGUUUUAGACAUUCAAAUAAAACUGUCGUCCAAUGUGCUCAAAUAUGACGGCUGCUCCGAAAGUAAUGCCUCCUGUUUUAUGAUGUCGGCCCAUAACAUCAGAGGUGGAUGUUGGUCGUAUAGCAGCAGAGGCUGAACCUUUCCACCAAUAUCCUGUUGUAUUUUGUUGCCGUGUGACACAUGGCAGCAGAGGGGCAGUCUGACAGAAUGGCAUCUGACAUGGAAGUAACUCCUGUUCAUCACUGGCGAAAACAGAACAUUAAUGGCAGCGACUAUGUUGAAAAAUAGCGUUUUGUAGCUGAGAAUUUGCUCUGACAAACAGUGUUACUGCGGUCUUCAUAUCUGUUGUCGUUUCCAUGGAAAUAAAUAGGAGGCAUUACUGUCGGAGCUAACACAGUACUAUCAAAGAUUUCUCAGGGGAAACAAAGUUAAGAAGAUACUAUUACUGUUCUGGAAACUCGUGCUGGCAGUGCCUUACCAUAUGCGGCGUCGGGCUGCUCCGAGCCACUCGGUCUCUGUGCGCGGUGAAGAAACGCCGACACGGUCACCUGGAGCUGGCAGAGCAGCAGCAGCCCCAGCAUGGCGCGUACCUGCCCGACAGAAACCAGCACCUCAACGCAGUGACAACGCAACCUCCCGACUGAUGAAGCCUGAAUGAGUCCCACACAUGAACUCAUCCAACGCAAGUGCCUACACGCCGUUCAGCCCGACGGAUCCCUAACAGAAAGCACCGACCCGAACAGGUCCUGCGUGCCAUUGCGUAAUUCCGCACAGGUCGCCGGGGCUGUCCCACCGCGCAACACCCGCUCUGGGGGCACGGGGGCGCACGGGGCCGAAUGGACCUUCGGGCCGGCCAUCCCGGCGGGGCUGAGCUAUCGCCCCUCGCUCUGUAGUUAAUCUGCGGGCUAAGAAGCGCGCUACUGAAACAACCGCGACCGCCCGCGGAACGGGGGGACGCUUGAGAGCCCCGACGAGGAGACGGAGAGCCCGUGCCGUGCCGUGCCGUGCCGUGCCAUGCUAUGCCAUGCCAUGCCAUGCCAUGCCAUGCAUACCUGCCCGCCGCAGCUCCAAGCCGAGAGCCAGUUGCCGGGAACCAUCCGCCGCCGUGCUCUGCGCUGAAUGCUUCCUGGAAGGGGCGCGGUGGACUCCAGGGCAGCACCCGCCCCACACCGCCCCGCCCCGCCCCUCCCGCCGCGUGGCCGGCUGCGCCCCGUCGGGGCGGUCCCACGGCCGGGGAAGGGCUGAGGUCGCUCCGUGGAGCGCUUCGCGGUGCGGCUGCGUGUGUGCCUGCUGCGCGGCCGAGCUCUGACAGAACAGGAGCGUGAAGAAAAAGAGCAGCACAGGUUGCUCGUUAUCCAGGUAACGUUAGGAUGAUUACAUUGCUCAGUCGCUACCUGUUGGAAUGAGAAACAGAAAGCUUCUAGAACGGAGGGCCCCGUGCAGCAGCUUCUUAACUGUGAAGUUCUUGUAGUUCUGGCUUAGUUUCUCGUGCAGUAUUUAUCAGUUGGUUAUGGUGUGAUAAACUGCAGGUAGAACCUCUCCACAUCCGAAGAACGGAAACUACGUGGUUGCCUAAUUGAACGAGCCCCUCUAGCGGACCUCAGAGGGUGUGCACCCGGGUGGUUCUUCGCCGUGCUUUAUUUAAUUUCCUCAAACACAGGCAGUCCUUCAGCUUGUUAUACAAAGUUGUGUUUGAAUUGUGCACCUAAUGUGAGUAUUUAGUUCUGAACACCUACGCUGUUAACCAUUAUUUCUGAGCAGUGAACGUUAGUGCUUGUAAUAGCACAUGAAUAACAAAAGCUGUCAUACCUCCAAUCAACAAAGUUUGUUGUCGGUAUGCAAAUGUUUAUGGGAAGGCUACUCAGACAAAAGUGCUUACAGGGGGACGGGAACAGCCUUGCAGGACUGCAUAUCACGUGCUUGCCUCUGUACUCAGUGUUUGAAAAGGAUCGCAGAUGUCUUCAGUGCUCACUGGGGAAGCAAAUAUCCCCUCUAAUUUUAGUAAAGGACACGGUGCUCCCAGCUGGUGAGUGCUGGCAUUGGGAAUGCUGCCGGUGUACUAGGAUUAAGAGUCUGCAUUGUCAGUUGCUCAAAAAACAAACAAACAAACAAAAAAACCCUUUAGAUGUGCAUAUUUUUAGGUUUAGUAAGGCAGAAUUAUUUUGUCAUUGGAAAAGGAAGUAUACUAUGAGCUUGAUACAUGCCAUGUCCUGACCUGGGAAUUCCAGGCAAUGUUCAGUGGAAAACUGACAGAAUAAAAUGGUUUGUUUAAAAUGAUGAGCCCCCAAAUACAGGUGUGUCUAAAAAUUAUGCCAGAACCUUCUAGUAAUGCAAGGAACAUCUGCUUCUGACCUUUCUUGAUAUCGUUUUGCCUUGUUCAGGUGAGAUACUUUUUGAGCUGAGGCAACAGGUGCAUACUGAAACACAGACAAUACUUGCCUGAGUUGAUAUACACCUGAUUAUGUUGUUAUUUUUAGUGUGUUUCAUGAAUAUUACUUUUGUAAACGGUGUUCAAUCUCUGUAUUUUUUUCUGCUUUUGGGGGGGGGGAGGGGUUAAUCUGAACAAGAGAAUACCAUUUGUGUAAGGUAGAGCCUGGGCAGGUGUGUUGCUGAUGUAGUUAGUCUUUGCUAUAUGGUCUAAAAGCUGAUUAAAAAAACACUUAUAGAAAAGGUCAGUGGUUACAAGCUGCCUGAAUUCUCUCCCUGUCUAAGAAAAUAUUGAGGAACCUCAGGCAAGCAGACCCUCUUACCAGGUGUGGUCAAAUGGGGAGUACUGGUGACGGAACACUGGAACAGGUUGCCCAUAGAGCUUGUUAAGUCUCCUUCUAUGGAGAUAUUCAAGACCUGUCUGGACACCUAUCUCUUAGGUUACCUGCUUUGGCAAGGGGGCUGGACUCGAUGAUCUCUUGAGGUCCCUUCUGACCCCUACUGUUCUGUCCUUCUUUUCGUUAUUUUUGUCUUGUGGAGCCAAAACACCAUUUUUCAGUUCCAACAGCAUAUUUCUAGUGACUGCAUCUCAGAUGUGCUUACAAUUUGUGACAUUUACAACAAAGCCAAAAUAUUUUGCAAAGGAUGCCAAGCUCUUUAAUGCUUGACUAAAGUUCCUUCUUAGGGUCAUGAGCUAGGCUAUCUGUGCAGGAAACCAAGCAGUUACUUGACUAACACUGAGCUCAAGAAGAAUGCCACCAAUGAACAAUUUGCUUUUGGAGAAACUGCUGGAUAAAUGAUUCUACAGAUCCCUUAAAUUGGUGAGAUGGCUCACAAAGACAGGUAACAUGCUGUACAACUGUUGUGGCACCUUUAACUGUGCUGUGCUGACAUCAUUAUUUUUUUAAUCAGGGAAGUUCAUACGGGUGAGAAGGAAAGAGACGACUUUAGGCUGGAAGUCUGAGCAUUGUGUUUGUAUUCUAAACAUUCAUAGCAUUCAUACCAUGCUAUUAUAAUCUGACUUAUGGCUGUGUGCGCUAAUAAUGUGUACAGUGUCAAGUAUGAUAAGCAUGUCUUACUGUUGCCCCAUUCAUGCAAAUUUCUUGUUAUAUACGGGAGAAGGUUACUGAGUCUGUAUCAACACCAAGAGUUAGAGUAUACUUCCAAUAUAAGUCUUUGUUUUGUUGUUGUGAUGAGAGUAGCUUGCGUUGGAGUUCCAAUACCAAGAAUUGCAGGGUUUUCAAUAACCUCUUUCAUUAAUGUAAGGUAAUUAAAAUUGCAACACUAGUAAAAACCUAUUUGUUUUUAAUUUUUUUAAAACGUUACGCUAUGUGAAGAGGCUCUACUCUAUGCUAUUCUAAUUGUGGGCUGGACCACAGAUUUUCUUUCCCAGGGAAAAGUUUUUGGUGACAGUUUGAUUACUUUGCCAUUGACCUUUCCUCAGAUAGUUGAGAUGUCGUCUGCUAGUUAAUUUUUAUCCAGACUUCUUGUUUUGCUUCUUUAAGUUGCUUUAGUGGGAACAAUAGGUAAAAAUGCCUCAAAUCUAUCUCAGUUUUCCCUUCGGUGUUAAGGCUAAAUUAUUUCUCUGGGCAAAGAGUGUGUCUUAGUCUGUGUUUGUAAAUUAUGGUUAACAUGUUAACAAAGAUGCUAUGUGGACUUGGCUGAGGUUUUCUUACAAGCUAAUAAUGAGACAAUUAAUUAUCAAAGCAAGUAAAGAACUUGUUCUGCUUCUUUCUCCCAGAUGCACUUUGCAACAUUCUUCUCAGCAGUUUUCAAAGAGAACUAUUUUGUUAGAAUGGAUUAAUCAGGUUCAACAAUAAUGUGUGAAUACUUUUGAGACAGUCUUGCUUUUGUUCAGUAUAAACUUUGCAUAUUUAAUUCCUGUAGUUGGUGUCUAUAACUAAGAUAUCCUUUGAUUAACCAAACAAGAACUUCCUAUUAACUUCCUAGGAAGGAGAGCAGCUGUAACAUAUCCCCACUGUUUGCUUAUUUACUUGUAGUCUGCCUUUUCUGGUGGAGAACAGUUUAAAUUAAAGAAUUGAGCAGAAUUCAGUUGGUAUGGAGCCUGUGAAAAGGAGGUGACGUGAAGAACUUUUGCAGAGGUGAACUGACAUUGACCAUGUGGGCAUUUUUCUUUUGUGUGUAAUUUGGAAAACGUUUUUUAAAUUUUUUUGAACCUAGAAAAUGAAUGCAAAAUAUUUCCAGCAUAUAAAUAAUAUUACUAGUUUGAAAAUAAUUUGGAAGAUCUAAGUGAUUACUUAGGACAGUCCCCUUAAAUGUUAUUGUUUCUCAAUGAUUUUGAAGGUAGUUUGACUCUCUUUAUUCACAGCCUCAUACUUAUCAUUUUAUUUUAUACAUAAAGGUGUUAUUUCCCAGUCUAGAUGGAGAAAUUCAUGGCUUUCAUUUGAGAGGUGGUGGCAGUGGUUACAUUUUGAGUUUGAGUUAUAUAAAGUGCAGCGCCCUUUCACAGAAAUCAUUUUCUAAUCUAUUUCUUUAGACUUACUUUAAGAAAUGAAUGAUACAGUAGUUCUUUGUGAAAGAUGGUGGAAGCUGUUAACUAACUUUAAAACAAAAAGAAAAAAAAAAAAAGAAAGAAAUGAAGGUAACCGUGUAUUCAUUUGUAUAGUUUUGGACAUGAUUACUUAUUUAUGCAAGCAGACAUAGACUCAUAAAAUAACAUGGAAUUUAAUACUCACUGAAUUAGAGACAAUACAUAACAUUCCCCGAUUAAUACACUUGAUUCACACUUGAGGAAGUUAAGAGGUUCUGUUAGGAAUUUUCUUGUGCUUCUAAGCCAAAAGAGCCUGAAGGACUUGGUGGUCUUAAGGGACUGACACAUCUCCCUUUCGUUGUGAAAUAAGCCCUUGGAGUCUGCUGUGAUAUUGUAUUCAGUCCAGAACUUAUGUUUAAUAAAGAAUGCUGUUUUCUGAAGUAUCUAGUCUUUAAUUGACUAUACAAGAAGAUGGAAAAUUGGCUAUCACUACUGGUAUUUUGUAGAAAAGGCCCAAGUUCUGUAGAAAAAUAUUUGACAUAUUUUUGAUUAUGAAAGAUAUCAGGUGAAAUGAUUGUAGUAAUUAUGCAGUAGAAGACUAAAUAAAAAUACUAUUGGUAUAAUUUAGGUGAUUGACUUUGUAUUAAAAGAGUACUAAGGAAUGUAAAUAAAAGAAUAUAAUGAUGCAGUGGCGGAAGCACACCAUAGAAAAUUCAAUACAGAUAUGAAGACAUUGAGUGCAUAGGAAAUGUAGGAAAUGAAGUGAGCAUUUUUGAGAUGUUUUGUGAAUUCAUUUAAGUGGAAAUGUGUGCAUGGAGAAACCUAGACACCUUCUUCAAGCUAAGUGGAUUAUGUUUUCAGAAGUCAUGUUUUCCUUUUAGAGCAGUCAAAAGACAAUUCCUGAUGUGUACACUUAAAUGCAUGAAAACGUAAACACCUAGGUACAUGUUAGACUGCAAGAAUGUAGGUACAGGAAUAAUAGAGUAGGAAGAAGUGAAGAAUAAACAAUAUGCUAUUCAACUGAUACUGCACAAAUGAGUCCAGAAAAACUGUUCUGAGAUGCUUUUCUUCCCUCUAGAUAGCUUUAACAGAUUGGACUUGUGAAAUAAGUUUUAUAAUGUUAGAAAACUAAACAGAAAGUAAUAUGCUACCAAACUGCCUUGAAAAUGUCUGCUUAGGAUUAAUUUAGAGAAUUCUUUCAACCAAAAAGUAUGUGUACAUAUUUAUCAUGUUAAUAAAGAUAUAUUCAAUUAAUUUUGAAAACCAGAGUAGAAAAUUAAUUUCCCUCCCACAGUCUUAAUGAAGAAAUAAAGAAACUAAUUUCCCAUUGCUGUUAGAGGGGUAAUCCACUCCUUCACAUAUUAAGAAAUUAAUGUAAUACAUCCACUCAGCCAAAGAGCCCCUGCUUCUUCACCUGCCCCCAGUCUCUUACAUCAGCUUGUUUUGUGUAGUACAAUUAUGAAAAAGAAAACUGAACAAAACUGACUCCUGUUAUGUUUUUCAGGCAUCGCUGUGCCCUAAGCUUAGUCUCGUGCUGUUCCCAAUAAAGCCAUCAAUUGAAUUGGGUGAUAUUUGCCAGUUCUGUCUUUCUACUAAUAAUAACAGCUUACUUGUCUACCUGAUAAAUUAAAUUUAAAAGAACACAGAAAAAGUAUUAAGGAAAAACUGUGAUUGGCUUUAUAUUCCUAUACAUAUAUUUGACUUCUUCAGUGUAGUAACAAGGCCAUCCUUUUUGUUUGACCUAGAAGAAAGUUGUUUCUGGGGAAGAAAAAAAAAAAAGGGAAAAAAAAAUCAAAUUAUUCCAAGGUAUUUGAAAUGCGCAUUUGAAAGAUGGUCGGGAUUACAGUACUGGAAACCAUCAUUUUUCUUUUGUCUUACGGCUGUGUUUCCUUGACUUAAGUAGCUCGCAGGACCUGGCAGUACACUUAGCAUUAGUGAAGCCUCUCCUUAAGGUAAGGAAUCAACAGAAAAUAUAAAAACCUGUGAACUUUGAUAUUAACAGUGAAGAUGCAUGCAGAAUUCAGACCAUAUCUGAAGAUA